rnacentral:rRNA from 1 species
UACGUAGGGUGCAAGCGUUAAUCGGAAUUACUGGGCGUAAAGCGUGCGCAGGCGGUCCGCUAAGACCGAUGUGAAAUCCCCGGGCUUAACCUGGGAACUGCAUUGGUGACUGGCGGGCUGGAGUAUGGCAGAGGGGGGUAGAAUUCCACGUGUAGCAGUGAAAUGCGUAGAGAUGUGGAGGAAUACCGAUGGCGAAGGCAGCCUCCUGGGCCAACACUGACGCUCAUGCACGAAAGCGUGGGGAGCAAACAGG